GAACGUCCGUUAGGAGUCCGUUUUGUACGGUACUCGUCCGUUUCGUUUCCGUUUUGUAUCCGUUACGUGUCCGUUAUACAUCCGUUGGAGGUCUGGAAGAUAAAUUCACCAACGGACUUCUACCGGACGUUUAACGGAUAAAACGGGUGUUGAACGGAUGAGAAACGGACUUCUACCGGACGUAUAACGGAUAAAACGGAUGAUGAACGGAUCU
rnacentral:lncRNA from 1 species